rnacentral:misc_RNA from 1 species
GGCCAGUGUGUGUCACAGACCGGGCCGGGGAUGGCGGCACGCGCGGCUGACCUGUGACCUGACCUGACCGGCCGGCAUGGCGGUGCGUCUGGGCGGCCCGCUGCCGCUGCUGCUGCUGCUGGCCGCGGCGGCCGCUGCCAGCAGCAGGGACGGCAAGGAGGACAUCCAUAUCGCCGGCUUCUUCCCUAUGACGGCCGGCGAGCUGGGCGUCAGCAGCGACGGAAACGACCCCGGCGAGCUCGGACGGGGCGUCAUGCACGCCGUGGAGCUGGCCGUCAAACACGUCAACAAGGCCAGAGACGUGCUGCCCAGCGUGCGGCUGCACGUCACCUGGAACAACACCCAGUGCAGCUCAGCUGUGGCGAUGAAGGCGUUCUUCGACAUGAUGUCGAACGGGUCGCACAAGAUGGUGCUGUUCGGGGCGGCGUGCACGCACGUCACAGAUCCGAUCGCCAAGGCGUCCAAACACUGGAAUCUGGCCCAGCUCUCCUACGCCAACACGCACCCGAUGUUCACCAAGCGCAACUUUCCAAACUUUUACCGGAUCGUGCCCAACGUGCGCUACCUGGACGUGGCUCGCGUGGAGUUUGUCAAACUGCACGGCUGGAAGAGGGUCGGCACACUCUGCCAGGAUGACCCCCGCUACACACUGGCGCACAACGGUAUGGUCAAGCUGCUCGACACAUUCCAAGUGGACGUGGUUGCCAUGGAAACGUUCGCCGGCAAGCUGACCGACCAGCUGGAGAAGCUGAAGGCCAAGGAUGUGCGCAUAGUUUUGGGCAGCUUUGACGAGAGCUGGGCGAGGCGGAUAUUCUGUGAGGCGCGCCGAGUGGGCAUGUUCGGCCGCCGCUACCAGUGGCUGCUGGUGGGACUGUACAGUGAGCGCUGGUGGGAGCGGGACCAGUUCGCCGGACCGGAGCCGGCCGACCCGGCCGAGCGCUGCUCGCCAGAGGACGUGGUGCCCGCACUCCAGGGCGCCGUGCUUACCGACGUGCUCCACCUGAGCAACAGCCGGCGCAGGGUCAUCUCCGGCAUGACUGCCAGCGAGUACAAGAAGCAAUACGACCACGUCCGCGGGAAGGACUACUCUCGGUUCCACGGGUACGCCUACGACGGCAUCUGGGCCAUCGCCUCUGCUCUGCAUCAGGUGACGUGGCGCAUCCGUCACAACCAGUCCCCGCUGCCGAGCUGGGCCAACCUCAGUGAUUUCCGCUACCAGGACGAGCGCUGGGAGACGGUGCUCAAGUCGGCCCUGAACGACAUCAGCUUCGAGGGUGUCACGGGCUCGGUGAAAUUUUCAGAAAAUGAGCGGAGAGGUUUCGUCGUCUUGAAGCAGUUUCGAGACAACCGCACGUCGUUUAUCGGCGUGCACGACCUGAACCAGCUGCGCUGGCUCACCCCGGAGGACGACGACCGGAUCGAGCCCAUCUGGUGGUUCUCUGGCAAACAGCCGCUGGACCAGACCAUCCGGCACAUCGAGAAGGCGCGCGUCAACGUGCAGCUGUACGCGGCGCUGGUGGUGGCUGCCUCACUGGGCAUCGUCAUGGCCGUCAUCUUCCUCUUCAUCAACAUCCGCUUCCGCAACCAGAGGUACAUCAAGAUGUCGUCUCCGUACCUCAACAACCUGAUAAUCAUCGGCUGCAUCCUGACGUACACGUCUGUGAUCCUGCUGGGUCUCGACUCGAGCCUCACCUCUGAGGAGUCCUUCCCCGUCGUGUGCGCCGCCAAGACCUGGGUGCUCAUGGCCGGCUUCACCCUGGCAUUCGGCUCCAUGUUCUCCAAGACGUGGCGGGUCCACUCCAUUUUCACGGACGUCAAGCUGAACAAAAAGGUCAUCAAGGACUACCAGCUGUACAUUGUGGUCGGAGUUCUGCUCUCUAUCGACAUUGCCAUAAUGACCACCUGGCAGAUCGUCGAUCCGUUCUACCGGGAGACCAAGCAACUCGGACAAUAUCCUCACCCUCAGAACGACGACGCCAUUAUCAUACCAGAGAACGAGUACUGCAAGUCGCACAAGAUGACUGUCUUUGUCGGCUGCAUAUACGCUUAUAAGGGGUUACUAAUGAUAUUUGGCUGUUUUUUGGCAUGGGAGACGCGCCAUGUGAAUAUCGCUGCUCUGAACGACUCCAAGUACAUAGGUAUGAGUGUCUACAACGUGGUAAUCAUGUGCGUCAUCGGCGUGGCCAUCUCGUUCGUCCUGUCCGACGACCAGGACGCCUCCUUCAUCAUCAUCUCCGUCUUCAUCUUGUUCUGCACCACCGGCACGCUGUGUCUAGUCUUCGUACCUAAGCUAAUUGAGCUGCAGAAGUCGAAGCGGGCGCCGCCGGGCCGGCUGCGCGCCACACUGAAGCCGCCCCGCUCGCGGGGCUACCAGUGCACGGUGAACGCCGCCGCGCUGGGCAUCAGGGAGAACAUCCGCCGAUCAGAGGACAUGGCCACCCGGCUGCGGCUCAAACUGCGCGCCCUCGAGCAGGAGCUGGACCACCUGAUGCGUCAGGUGGGGGACGAGGCUCAGGAGUACCUCAACCAGCGGAUGGCCGGAGCGCGACUCACCGUGCCGCGCCUGUCCUGUCUGGGCAUGGAAGGCAAGCCACGGCCCUCGAUGACAGAGAGCACCGAGAUAACAUCGCUCUGCUCUUACACAGAGUACGAUGUGGACGCGCCGGAGCCCAGCCUCAGGAAGCGUUCGUCGGUGCAGCACACGCUGCUGCCGUCGAUUGCCGCGUCGACGGACAACUUGGGUGAGCUGCCGUCGCCGCCGACGUCGCCGUUUGUGCCCUUCCAACGCAACUACCUGGUCGCCAACGGCCUCGAGGUGGAGCUGGGGAACAUCAUCGUCGAAAACGUCGACGAGCCGAGCUGUUACGCGGUGAAGGACGGGGAGGAGAGUCUGGCCGAGGAGCCGGCCGUCGAGCUGCUGCUCGGCCAGUCGGCGCCGGCCGUGCACAAGUUCGGCCGCAGCUCUCUGGACUGUGUCAUGCACCACGGUCUGCUGUCGGUGCCGGCCAGCGACGAGCCGCUGCUCCGCCGGCGCAGCGACCCCGGCGUGCGCCAGUACAGCCUGGCCAGCGCCAUCAACGCGCUCAACGCCAGCCUGGCCAACAUCAUCAACGCCACGUCGUACAGCACCGUCACCAACAACAGCAGCUCCAUCUCGCGCUUCAUCGAGGAGGCCGCCUUCCAGGCGCUGCACUCGUCCAGCUCCGACCCCAGCCACCUGGAGGGCGGCGACGUCGGCGACGGCGCCGACCUCGACUCGCCGCCGCCCGACGACGACUCGGACUCGGCGCGACUCGGCGAGUCGAGCGGGCCGAGCGAGCCGAGCGGCUCCAGCGCCGAGGCCACCACGCGCUCGCUGGACUCGCUGUCGGCCGAGUGCGGCGACUCGGACCUCCAGUCGGUCUCCGAGUCGGCGCCGCCGCCCCCCGGGCACGCCCUCCUCGUCAACGGAGACGUCCUCCAGAUGCUGCGCAUGCGCAACAGCCAGCUCAGCGUUAAACCGGUCGCAGAAUCAGACGGCGGUGACGCUCCUCAGCCGGACCGGUCGUCAUUCUCGGCGCGCUCCUCGGCCUCCUGUCCCCGUCUGCUGGGUGACGCGCCCCUCAGCCUGUCGGCAGCGCCGGCCGGCGGCGACGGGCCCCUGUCGGGCGCCAUCCUGCCCAUCUUUCACAAACUGGUCAGUGAGCGGCAGCGCGCGCGGCCGGCGCCUGUGCACGCGGCUGCCUCCUGUCCCAACAUCACCGUCAAGUGCGACAUCGUGCAGUACUUGUAGCGCGCCGCUGGCGCACAGACACUGGUGGCGCGGGCGUGACGCGCCGGCGACAGGUGUGACGCGCCGGCGACCGAUCUCUCUGUGGUGUAUGAGUAUUUUUACUACCAACAGACCUGAAAGGCUAUCUUGAGUGCGAUGCUAGUCUGUCCGUGACCAGUGACGUUGGAGCAGCACGUAUGUGUGCGAUGUUAUUUGUGGUGGCACGUGCCGUUGUGGCGAUGCGUUUUCGUGUGUGUGUGUGUGUGUGCGUGUGUGUGUCGCUCUGUGCGCUCUCAAAAUGAUACGCUUCCAUUCGUUCCAUAGCCGGUGGACGACCCGUGCUUGUGUGUCGGCUGGCUGCGCGCAGCUGAGUGGGUGCAGGGAGGGUGCAGGGCGGGGUGCAGGGGUGCACGGAAGGAUGCGGGUGUUGCUGUUGAUCUCAGUGCUGGUGCUGGUGCACAUGGGGUGUAAGUGCUGGAGCGGGUGCGGGUGCGAGUGCGGUAUCCCUGACUCCUGAUCUGCAUUCUGACCCCCCCCCCCCCCCCCCCCCAGGGAGUUACCAACGCCCUGCUCGCUGCUCAAAAAGUUAACGUUCCACGCCUUUUCGAACAACUGACGCGUGAUUGAUAAUAUAUUGCCUGCUAAACAGCGAAAAAAAUCAUUGGCUGACCAUCCAUCUUGGAAGCAUGUUACCUCUAUAUUUUUUAGCGAAUCAAUUAUCUCUGUUUCACAUGACUAAAACAUCUCGCAAACGAUUAGACAAGCUUGUAUUCGGAAUUCAAUACAUUAACUUUACAUCAGAAAAGAACUUAAUGUCGCGGCUGAGGCAGAGCUCUCAAAAGCUGCGUUUCCGAGGUGACAAAGCCUCCUGAAGUCGGUCGGUCGCUGCCAAAAUGAUGAGCGGCCGCGGAAAAGAGUGCUUUUCGCGUCCGUCGUUUUUAAUCUAAGUUUGGGAAGUGGAGAGAAGCUGUCGUCGGACGGCGCACCGCUAUCGUAUUUUUCCGCGCCAUCCCACUCCCUCCGAACUUGAUGACGGGCCAGUGCGCCGCCCUGGUUAUGACAAGUGACGGCUCAGGACCAGCCUCGGCUCAAACGGAGCAGGCGGCGGGGAAAUACGGACGAUUAAAUGCUCAAUCAACAGUAUAUUUUUGCAUUUUCACUCAAGCAAUCAACUGUCCGCGUUGCAUUAAAGUUCAAACUUACCUAAUUAAUAUAACAAUAAUGGCAUUAAUGUUUCACAGUUGGUGAAUCUGUUUUUGACUCGCACGGGUUCGGUAGAUGCCACGAUGGAGCUUGCCGCCCUUCCUUAGACGACCAAAGAGACGGGCGGAGGCCCCCAUUCCAGCUCCAGUCGGUCUGAAUAGUGACUGGUUAUCUUCCGAGUCACUAGCCAGUCGACCGAAAGGAAGCGCCGACCGGAAACGAUUGAUAGUCGACGGAAUUCGCCCAAAACAUGGCGUAUGCGACGCGGAGGAUGCAGUCAGUGCCAUGUGGGGUGGGUGAUUGAACGAUGACCUGGUCAGGUCAGAUCAGGGGUCGGUGGAGCCUGGGGUCAGGUCAGACCAGGGAGCGGGACAGAGUAGAGGUCAGGUCAGGGGUCAGGUCAGACCAGGGGUCGAUGCAGAGCAGAGGUGAGGUCAGGGGUCAGGUCAGACCAGGGAG